rnacentral:rRNA from 1 species
GUCAGAGUUUGAUCUGGCUCAGGACGAACGCUUGCGGCGUGCCUAAGAAAUGCAAGUCGAACGGGGCUUCGGCCCCAGUGGCGAACGGUCGCGUAACACGUAAGCAACCUGCCCUGAAGUGGGGGACAACAUCCCGAAAGGGGUGCUAAUACCGCAUGUGGUCAUGAGUCGGCAUCGACUUGUGUCUAAAGAUUUAUCGCUUCAGGAUGGAGUCUCGGCGU